rnacentral:rRNA from 1 species
AUGUCAUACGGCCAACAAUUCAAGAUCCGCGAGGUGCCCCCGAUCGUGCAGGAGCUGGUGGCCGGCGGCGUGCAGGAGCCACCGCGCCAGUACGUGGUUCCUGAGCAAGACCGUCCCACCGCGGCGGUCUCGGAGAUGCCCGAGCCCAUCCCAGUCGUCGACCUCAGCCGGCUGUCCGCCAACAGCGCCGACGAGCUCGCCAAGCUGCAGUCCGCACUGCAGAGCUGGGACCUCUUCCUGGUCGUUGGACAUGGAAUGGAUCCUAGUUUUCUUGCCGAGGUGAUGAAGGCCAUGAGGGAGUUCUUCAAGCUCCCGCUAGAAGAGAAACAGAAGUACUCGAACAUUGUCGACGGCAAGAAGAUGAGCUCGGAUGGAUACGGCAACGACAUGGUCGUGAUGGAAAAUCAGGUCCUUGACUGGAACGACCGUCUCAGCCUCCAAUUGGAACCCGAGUCGGAGAGAGCCUAUGCACGGUGGCCAACACAACCACCUUCUUUCAGAGACAUUCUAUGUGAGUACACGGUCCGAUGCAGAGCGGUGGCAAACAUUAUCCUGCAAAACCUAGCCAAGCUUCUCAAUUUACAGGAGGAAUACUUGACAACCAUGCUCGGCGAGAAGUCCUUAACCCAUGCUAUAAUCAACUACUACCCUCGGUGCCCCAUGCCGGACCAUGUCUUGGGCCUUAAGCCCCACACCGAUGCUUCGAUGAUCACGGUCAACUUCAUUGAUGCCGACGUCAGCGGGCUCCAGCUCCAGAAGAAUUGCAUCUGGUACAAUGUGCCCAUCGUCCCAAACGCAUUGGUUGUGAACAUAGGGGAUGUAAUGGAGAUAGUGAGCAACGGAUUCUUCAAAAGCUUGGUGCAUAGGGUCGUGACCAAUGCGGAGAAAGAGCGCUUGUCGUUGGUGAUGUUCUACGCGUUGGACCCAGAGGCGGAGAUUGAGCCGGUGCAAGAGCUGGUGGAUGACCAGAGACCUAGACGAUACAGGAAGAUGAAGAGCAAGGACUACCUAGCGAAAUUCUUUGACACUUAUGCAACAGGGAAACUAGCCAUCGACUCCAUGAGGAUCUGA